UAAUACAGAGGUCUCAAGCGUUGUUCGGAUUCAUUGGGCGUAAAGGGUGCGUAGGUGGCGCGGUAAGUCGGGUGUGAAAUCUCGGAGCUUAACUCCGAAACUGCAUUCGAUACUGCCGUGCUUGAGGACUGGAGAGGAGACUGGAAUUUACGGUGUAGCGGUGAAAUGCGUAGAUAUCGUAAGGAAGACCAGUGGCGAAGGCGGGUCUCUGGACAGUUCCUGACGCUGAGGCACGAAGGCCAGGGGAGCAAACGGGAUUAGAUACCCCGGUAGUCCUGGCAGUAAACGGUGCACGUUUGGUGUGGGAGGAUUCGACCCCUUCUGCGCCGGAGCUAACGCGUUAAACGUGCCGCCUGGGGAGUACGGUCGCAAGAUUAAAACUCAAAGAAAUUGACGGGGGCCCGCACAAGCGGUGGAGUAUGUGGCUCAAUUCGAUGCAACGCGAAGAACCUUACCAGGCCUUGACAUGCAUCUCUAAGUUGGUGAAAGCCAGCGAGUCCCGAAAGGGACAAUUUGCACAGGUGCUGCAUGGCUGUCGUCAGCUCGUGUCGUGAGAUGUUGGGUUAAGUCCCGCAACGAGCGCAACCCCUGUGAACUGUUGCCACCGGCGCAAGCCCGAGCACUCUGUUCAGACUGCCCCGCUUUAACGGGGAGGAAGGUGGGGACGACCUCAAGUCAGUAUGGCCCCUUACGGCCUGGGCUGCACACGUACUACAAUGCCCAGCACAGAACGAUCCGAGACCGCAAGGUGGAGGAAAUCACUAAAACUGGGCCCAGUUCAGAUUGGAGUCUGCAACUCGACUCCAUGAAGCCGGAAUCGCUAGUAAUGGCGUAUCAGCUACGACGCCGUGAAUACGUUCCCGGGCCUUGUACACACCGCCCGUCACAUCAUGGAAGUCGCUUGUAGCCGAAGUCGGCGUGCUAACCGCAAGGAGGCAGCCGCCUACGCUAUGAGCGGUAACUGGGAUG
rnacentral:rRNA from 1 species